UUUAAAUUACAAAAUACAAAUAAUAUAGUUACAAUUAACCUUGAUACAAAAACAAGAAUGCACUGCGCCGAAUGUACGAAAUUAGCACGUACGUUUACCCACAAACAAAUGAGUGGGACAGAGGUCGUUGUUUUGUUUCCCUUGAUACGGUAAUCAGUGCGACACUGAAAAGUGGCAAGUUUUCAAGAAACUAGAAAGCCUGUUUCUGACAAACAAUGUACAAGUACAUUAGAAGGGGUGUGUGGACCAGGACAGAGUUGUUAUCAAGAGGUGCAUGGAAUGAUACACACAGUGAAUGCAGAAGGAAAAGUAUAUGCUUUUCUCCAAUACACACAUGGAGGACACAGAACCUCAUCGCACAGCUAUUCACAAGGACAUUGCUGAGGAGAAACCCUCAUACUUCCAAGUGUUUUAUUAGUAGCUACGUACGAAGCAGACAGCUGCCCAAUUCCUUUCCAGUUUUAGAUGGAGCUAUCCAGCCAAUUCACAGACACGUGUAUGAAGCAAAUUUCCGCAACAGUACUUCUUGUCAUGCAAGGUACUCUGAGUGCAUGGAGAAAGUGAGGAAGGGAGGAGGGGACAAUGCAGUCCUCCGCCACACGCAGAGGAACAAGAAACUGCUUGUCUGGGACAGACUCCGGCAGCUCCUGGAUGGAGAGGAUUUCCUCGAGCUGUCUCCCUUCGCUGGGCUGGGGAUGCCCUAUGGGGAUGUACCCUCGGCAGGUUGUGUCACGGGUGUAGGUAAGAUCAGUGGGCUGUGGUGUGUGUUUAUUGCCAAUGAUGCUACAGUGAAAGGAGGGACUGCCUAUCCAAUCACAGUGAAGAAGCAGCUGAGAGCCCAGGAUGUUGCCAUCCAGAACCACCUGCCCUGUGUGUACCUGGUAGACAGCGGGGGAGGCUUCCUUCCACUUCAGGCUGAGCUUUUUCCAGACAGGAACCACGGAGGAAGAACAUUUUACAACGAAGCCAUAAUGUCAGCCAUGAAAAUCCCUCAGGUGGCGGUAGUGUGUGGUUCUUGCACAGCGGGAGGUGCCUAUAUCCCCACUAUGGCAGAGGAGACUGUUAUGGUGGAGAGGAUCGGGACGAUAUUCCUUGGAGGACCUCCUCUUGUGAAAGCGGCUACAGGGGAGGAGGUGACUUCCGAGGAGCUCGGAGGAGCCAGGCUGCAUGCAGAAGUGAGUGGCUGUGUUGACCAUUUUUCUGCCAAGGAACAGGAGGCCUAUGAAUGUGCCAGAAACAUCAUUACGACGCUGAACUUUGAGCUGCCACUGGAAGACCUUUCAGAAGAACAAGACCCUCUGUACAGCUCCUCCGAGCUCCAUGGCCUGGCCCCCCGAGAUUACACACACACUCUGGACAUCAAGCUGAUUGUGAGCCGCCUCACAGAUGGAAGCCGGUUUCAGGAAUUCAAAGCCCUGUAUGGAACUACACUUGUGACCGGCUUUGCCAGAAUUGAAGGGCACUUAGUUGGUGUUGUGGCUAACAAUGGCGAGCUGACCUAUGAAGCUGCUCUGAAAGGCAGUCAUUUUGUGCAACUUUGUGACCAGCGUGGCAUCCCUUUGAUAUUCCUACAAAACACACCUCCAUACUCCGCAGUUACAGGAACCCUAUCUCAGGCAGAGAUCAACACUAAUAGACUGAAGGCCCAAGCCUCCAUGAUGUCAGCUGUAGCCUGUGCCUCCACCCCCAAGAUAACUGUGGUCAUCGGAGGCUGCUAUGGAGGGGAAAGCUAUGCAAUGUGCGGAAGAUCAUUCGAUCCCAAUUUCCUGUUCCUGUGGCCCAAUGCCAGGGUGGCUGCUGUGGGUCCUGAGCACUCAGAAGAGCUCUCACAGUGGGCAGAGCCUGAGGUUACACUGAAGGAAAAGAACCAGAUGAAGAAAAGGUUGGAGGAGGAGAGCUCAGCCUUCUAUUCCUCUGGGAGGGUCUGGGAUGAUGGAGUGAUCUUGCCGAAGGACACCAGAAAGACAGUAGAGCCUUCAUUGGACGAGCAUCAGCUUUCUGAAAUUCUCUAGCCAGCAAGUCCUGGAGGAAGCCUAGAAGGUGCCCAUGGCUAAUUCACUUCAUUUGGUACUGGACAAAUGUUUGAGGAUAAUUAAACAGCAGGACUACCAGCUCACAAAAGGAAUACAGAGCAGCCCUGUUCUUAGAAUGUAACAAGAAAACUGUUCAAUAAAGAUGAAGUACAAUCAGA